rnacentral:snRNA from 1 species
AUUCUGUACAAUAAAGGGCACCAUAAGGAAAGUGUAAGAAAUCAGCCAAUAAGGCUUAUCCAAUGCACUCCAGAUGUUCUGACCCCUGCAUUUCCCCAAAUGUGGGAAACUUGACUGUAUAGUUUUUGUAGUAGUAGGGGACUGUGUUCAUGCUGUACCCAA